GUGCUUAACACAUGCAAGUCGAACGGAAAGGCCCUGCUUUUGUGGGGUGCUCGAGUGGCGAACGGGUGAGUAACACGUGAGUAACCUGCCCUUGACUUUGUGAUAACUUCAGGAAACUGGGGCUAAUACCGGAUAGGAGCUCCUGCUGCAUGGUGGGGGUUGGAAAGUUUCGGCGGUUGGGGAUGGACUCGCGGCUUAUCAGCUUGUUGGUGGGGUAGUGGCUUACCAAGGCUUUGACGGGUAGCCGGCCUGAGAGGGUGACCGGCCACAUUGGGACUGAGAUACGGCCCAGACUCCUACGGGAGGCAGCAGUGGGGAAUAUUGCACAAUGGGCGGAAGCCUGAUGCAGCAACGCCGCGUGCGGGAUGACGGCCUUCGGGUUGUAAACCGCUUUCGCCUGUGACGAAGCGUGAGUGACGGUAAUGGGUAAAGAAGCACCGGCUAACUACGUGCCAGCAGCCGCGGUGAUACGUAGGGUGCGAGCGUUGUCCGGAUUUAUUGGGCGUAAAGGGCUCGUAGGUGGUUGAUCGCGUCGGAAGUGUAAUCUUGGGGCUUAACCCUGAGCGUGCUUUCGAUACGGGUUGACUUGAGGAAGGUAGGGGAGAAUGGAAUUCCUGGUGGAGCGGUGGAAUGCGCAGAUAUCAGGAGGAACACCAGUGGCGAAGGCGGUUCUCUGGGCCUUUCCCUGACGCUGAGGAGCGAAAGCGUGGGGAGCGAACAGGCUUAGAUACCCUGGUAGUCCACGCUGUAAACGGUGGGUACUAGGUGUGGGGUCCAUUCCACGGGUUCCGUGCCGUAGCUAACGCUUUAAGUACCCCGCCUGGGGAGUACGGCCGCAAGGCUAAAACUCAAAGGAAUUGACGGGGCCCCGCACAAGCGGCGGAGCAUGCGGAUUAAUUCGAUGCAACGCGUAGAACCUUACCUGGGUUUGACAUGGAUCGGGAGUGCUCAGAGAUGGGUGUGCCUCUUUUGGGGUCGGUUCACAGGUGGUGCAUGGCUGUCGUCAGCUCGUGUCGUGAGAUGUUGGGUUAAGUCCCGCAACGAGCGCAACCCUUGUUCACUGUUGCCAGCACGUUAUGGUGGGGACUCAGUGGAGACCGCCGGGGUCAACUCGGAGGAAGGUGGGGAUGACGUCAAGUCAUCAUGCCCCUUAUGUCCAGGGCUUCACGCAUGCUACAAUGGCUGGUACAGAGAGUGGCGAGCCUGUGAGGGUGAGCGAAUCUCGGAAAGCCGGUCUCAGUUCGGAUUGGGGUCUGCAACUCGACCUCAUGAAGUCGGAGUCGCUAGUAAUCGCAGAUCAGCAACGCUGCGGUGAAUACGUUCCCGGGGCUUGUACACACCGCCCGUCAAGUCAUGAAAGUUGGUAACACCCGAAACCGGUGGCCUAACCGUUGUGGGGGAGCCGUCGAAGGUGGGACUGGUGAUUAGGACUAA
rnacentral:rRNA from 1 species